rnacentral:lncRNA from 1 species
CCCAGCCCACUGGGAGUCAAGCAUGGACUCCAUAAAUUUAUGUGAGAGGGUCAUAAAUUUUAUUUAAACAGUGGGAGCAUAAUUAAUUUAAUAAAAGUCCAUGUUAAAUUAAUUAAUGCAUUUUAUAUAUUUUAUUCUUUUCCUUUUCGUCAUUUACAUUUAUAUUGAAUCUGAGUAACCAUAUGUUUUGAAUGGCAUACUAGAUGCCAACAACCAAACUAUAUUUUCUUAAUUGACACUGCAAUUUGAAAAUUGUUCUUAUGCAUGAGAAAGUUGGUCACGUCCUUGAGUAGCCCCUUCCAGAGACACCUGGUGAUGACUCGAUUAAGGAAGAGGUGGCUACUAUAGUAAACGCAGUGAUGAUAAUAGUACUGCAACGUAUAUGAUACUUGCAACUAUGUCACUGAGUUACAAAAGCAACUCGAGAGUAUAGAUGUUAACACAUAAUUUUUCAUUACAAAGAGUUGUAUGAUAAUAAUCAUGUGUGGAAGGAUAUGAGACUUCCAAACAACUAUACCGGUGCAAAAUGACAGAGUAAUCUUCAAUCGAUGCUUAGACACUGAAGAUGAUUGACGUUGAGAAAUGUCUCAACUGUGUUCAAUCAUAAACCAUGAACUAAGUAGUGACUUGGUUCUGUAAUCUCUGUCAGCUAAAGCUAUUCACAACUAAUUAUGAAUUUAACGUGAAUAAGCUCGAAUGCAAAAAUAUUAAGUUGCUUAACAUGCUUAGGACUGUUAACCCCUUUAUCAAAGUUGG